UACUUAGUGGCGGACGGGUGAGUAACGCGUGGGCAACCUGCCCCGUGCCGGGGGAUACCGCCUGGAAACAGGCGCUAAUACCGCAUAAGCGCAUACAGCCGCAUGGGUGUAUGCGGAAAGCUCCGGCGGCACGGGAUGGGCCCGCGCCCGAUUAGCCAGUUGGCGGGGUAACGGCCCACCAAAGCGACGAUCGGUAGCCGGCCUGAGAGGGCGGACGGCCACAUUGGGACUGAGACACGGCCCAAACUCCUACGGGAGGCAGCAG
rnacentral:rRNA from 1 species